GAUGAACGCUAGCGGCAGGCUUAAUACAUGCAAGUCGAACGAGAAGUUAUAUUUCGGUAUGACGGAAAGUGGCGCACGGGUGAGUAACGCGUACACAACCUACCCUUAAGAGGGGGAUAGCCUUUGGAAACGAAGAAUAAUACCCCAUGGUAUCUUAAGUUGGCAUCAAUUAGAGAUUAAAGUUGAGGCGCUUAGGGAUGGGUGUGCGUGCUAUUAGCUAGUUGGUAAGGUAACGGCUUACCAAGGCAACGAUAGCUAGGGGGCGUGAGAGCGUGGACCCCCACACGGGUACUGAGACACGGACCCGACUCCUACGGGAGGCAGCAGUAAGGAAUAUUGGACAAUGCCCGAGAGGGUGAUCCAGCCAUGCCGCGUGCAGGAAGACUGCCCUAUGGGUUGUAAACUGCUUUUAUAUAGGAAGAAUAGUCCCAACGUGUUGGGAUAUGACGGUACUAUAGGAAUAAGCACCGGCUAACUCCG
rnacentral:rRNA from 1 species